CCCAGUAUGGCCGAGCGGUCUAAGGCGCUGGUUUUAAGCACCAGUCCGAAAGGGCGUGGGUUCGAAGCCCACCACUGUCA
rnacentral:tRNA from 1 species